rnacentral:lncRNA from 1 species
AGACUGGGGCCCUCCAAGGCAGAGAGAAGACCAACUCUCCUGGCUUCCUUGACAUUCUCCUUACCUGACGUUCUGCAGCCUCUUGGGAGACUCUCGGAUGUACCCAUAGGAGGCUGUGGGAGACAGAGGGUCAUGUCCAGAAGGGAAAUGGCAGUGUAUGGCGUCACAGUAAGAGCUGGGGCAACUCCCCCGCUGUGUCUUUGAUGUCUUUGCAUCACCUUUCCAAGCCUCAGUUUUUCUCAUGUGUCAAAUGGGAGUGACAAUUUCCUGCCUCGCUUUACUCUGUGUGUGUGUGUGUGUGUGUGCGCGCGUGUGUGUGUGUGUAACUUAUGCCAAAGUGCUUUGAAAAACCGAGAAGUGGGAGGGGGGAGGGAUAGCAUUAGGAGAUAUACCUAAUGUUAAAUGACGAGUUAAUGGGUGCAGCACACCAACAUGGCACAUGUAUACAUAUGUAACUAACCUGCACGUUGUGCACAUGUACCCUAAAACUUGAAGUAUAAUUAAAAAAAAAAAAAGAAAGAAAAACCGAGAAGGCCUAAGGAUGUCUGCUGAGUUGAGACUAAGGUGUAGUGGGUGAUAUGUUUGGCUGUGUCGCCACCCAAAUCUCAUCUUGAAUUGUAGCUCCCAUAAUUCCCACGUGUUGUGGGAGGGACCUGGUGGGAGACAGUUGAAUCAUGGGAGCAGUUUCCCCCAUACGGUUCCCAUGGUAGUGAAUAAGUCUUAUAAGAUCUGAUGAUUUUAUAAGGGGUUUCCCCUUUUGCUUAGCUCUCAUUCAUUCCCUCUUGUCUGCUGCUACGUAAGACGUGCCUUUUGCCUUCUGCCAUGAUUGUGAGGCCUCCCCAGCCACUUGGAACUAGAUGGAGCCGGGCAGGACUAACCCUGCUGUGCAGAUGGAAUAAAAGGCAGGGACCUGUUCCACGAUGCUCCCAAGCUCAGAUCACAGCGAGCUAAAGGGAACCUGGGAGGUGGGUCUCCUAAGCCUCAGGCACAGGUCUCUGGAAAGGACACGCACUGGAUAGAAAAUUGGGAACAGUUUAUUUCAAACAACAAAAGCAGCCCACAGUCCUCAUGGAUGAACUUUGCAGAGGGCCUCACAGCCAGGAACUUCCUUUGACCCCUGGGUGGCCUCGACCAGACCCUUCUCAGUGGGAAUGGCCUUGGCUAUUUGUGAGUGAGCUGCCUGCCCAUUGCCCAUGGGUCAGUCCAUGGGUGGCUUGGGUCCUCUGUCCAGGGUGGCACCGACCUCAAGGCCAGUCACCUGGAGAUGGGGGCCAGGUUGUGCAGACUUGCUACCCGCUUCCUGGAGCAAACAGUUGGGGGUGAUCCCCAGAGGAGAUGUACACACAGCAUACUCCCAGCUAACGGCCUCAGCAUUCUUAUCGCUGCCCAGAUGAGGCCUAGUUAAUUACUGACCAGAGAACGGCGGCGACUGAAUCCCCGGCAUAAGCUGUUGCCUCUAAACGGUCCAGGGGGUCCUUGCAGCCUGGGGGCCAGUUUCUUUGCCCACCCUGCAAAGAGGUACAUUCACCAUUAACCACAGAAAGAAGGAUUUGCGUUCAGUUCAAGGAAGGCUUAUAAUUCUCCAGGGGUGUCCAGACCCUGGGAUGGGGCCUCCGGAGUCACAGAAUUUCUUCUUCAAAGCAGAGAAACAUGCCUGCCCAGCUCAGCAUGAUCCAGCUUCAGAGGCAGAGCGCCGAUGGAUGGGGUGUUUGGUCAGUGAACAAAGGGCAGCAUGUGUGGCUGGCUCCCUGGGCAAGUAACUUUCCCUGUCUGGCCUCGGUGUUCCCAUGUGUCAGAUGGGGAUGCUGGAGGACAUGAUUUCGAGGGUCCCUCAGUCCUUGCCUCAUCCCCCUUGUCUGGCCAUGCCCAAUUCUCCCUCUGCUCCUCAACCUACACCCUCUUUCUUAACCAGACAGGCAUCCUCCUGACCCUACUCCCCUCCUCUCCUCCACAAAGCCCUCUCUGCUUUCCUUCUCCUGUGCAAGCUCUGUCCAAGCUGCAAGAUCUGACCAAAUCACUUCUCCAGGAAGUCUGAAGCCACCUCUGGCUACACCAACGCUCAUGAAUCUCCCUCUCUCUGGGUGGUUCCACAUGCAAAGCCAAAACCUCUGAACUUCUUCCAGGUUUCUGGAAGAAUAACAGCCAAUACUAGAUAGCACUGCCUGUGUGCCAGGCACUGGAGCAAACAACGAGCACAUGUUAACACAUCUCAUCCUCAUAGCUCUGCUCUUAUUCCCAAUUUACAGAUGAAGAAAGUGAGUCCGGAGGGGUUAAGCAACUUGCCCACAGACACACAGCCAGUAUGUGGUGGCUGCAGUUGGCUUCAGAACUGUGCUACCCAGGAGGGCAGCCUCCAGCCCUGAGUGACCAUUGAGCACUAGAGAUGUGGCUGGUGUGAAUCGAGACAAGCUGUGAGUGUGUAAUGGACACCAGGUUUUGAAUGGUUGGUGUGACAAAAAGAAUGUACUAUAUCACAUUGAAAUUUUUAUAUUGAUUUCAUGGUGACAUAUUUUCCAUAUAUUGAGUUAAAUAAAAUAUAUUGUUAACACUAA